GGACGUGGAAUCAGUCGCCGCCCCUCGUUUGCUCCGUCGCAGCAAGCAAGCGAGCCAGGAAGCAAGCAAAGCAAAGGGAGAUCCAUGGCUUGCUUGAGCAGGAUUCAUGGACUACAUACUGGAAAGCAGAUAUGGGGACAAAAGAGAUCCCCUCCCCCCUUCACACUGGGAUGCACACACCAGGACCAGGGCCAAUGCCUCAAGGCUGCCGUCAAGUGAGACGUCAUAGUGGAGUAGGCGUAGGAGGAGGAGGUGGUGGUGGUGGUGGAGUAGGAGGGAUCGGAAGACUAGGGCUGUGGAUAAGCUGCUGACCCACAUGGAGCGCCAGAUUCACUUUGUGCAUUAGAAUCUUCUCGUUUGUCAUGGUCGUUGUUGUCUUCCUCUCCUUCAGCUUCAGAUUCUUCAUUCGGUUGAGUGGUCCUGAGCUGGUGACUUCUCGCGCUCCACGCCAGGAGGCUGCUUGUGAUCGUUUCGCGUCGCGGGACUCGAAUUGCCAGGAUUUCGUGCUGGGUUAGUUGUUUUGGUCAGCAAUUUGGGUUUUUUCUCUUUUUUUUGGACAGAUAUCUUGUCUAUCAUGUUUUUGGAGUAAAGUGAUUAUGCUUCUGCGGGCGGCGUGGAAAGGGUUUGAAAGGACGAGGUGGGCUCGUGCGCACGAGUUUGCAGUGGGUUGAUUUGUAAGGGUGUUUUGUGUUGCGGUGUUUGGGAAAAUGUUAGAGUUUUUUGUGGUAGGCCAAAAAUCUUGCAUGAAGUAGCAUUGUGCUGGAGUUUGAUUUUUCAGUGGGCGUUGGGAUCUUGUUAUGUGUUCCUUCGCUCCAUUGAGAUGAGCUUCUUAUUAAUUGAUCGGCAGAUUCAAGAUAACAGUACGACUAUUUUCUGCUAGAUCAAGCUACAGCCAAGUCAUUUGCCACAUUGUUUUUAAGAACCUCGCACUCAAAUUUGCACCCUCUAACCAUCCUUGGCGUUGGUUGGUUUCAUUCUAAACAAGAAUGUGGCUGGUAUUUUCAUAAAUCGGCAACUUUGGUGUUGCAUCGACCCACUAUCUGUGGUACUCGAAGUCGUUGUGGUGGCUGUUGCUGCAUCAGAUCCCUGAAUGAUAUUCUUUACUGAUCAGCUGUUUUGAUUACGAAUUCUGCGCCUGAAAAUGUGUCUUCUGUUUCUUAAGAUCUUGCAGCAGCUGAGAUUGCGAUAUCAAGCGGUUGCUGGAGGCGUAUUAAUCUUUCUAUAUUCUCGAGGUGAUCGCUGCCAGAAUUGAUUGAAUUAGAGAAUUUUUCGGCAGCUCUUGCAGCAGUCUCUCGGACAGUGAUGAAAAAAGAUAAUCUAGGGUUGAAGGAAUGCAGGGGUAGGGUGAAUUCCAGAGCAUAUCAAUUCGACUCUUAAGCGGUCCCUCCAAGAUCAAAGGCGAGGCAAUAACUGGCUGCUGCCAUGUUUGGAGCCCCAGGUGUUGCCUGUUACAUAGGUCCCACCAAUGGGCUCCAAACGCCAGCCCUUCAAUCGAUAUUGUCAUUACCAACUCUUUCGAAGUCUCGAUCGUAUUUCCUUUCGAGAGCCUCAUCUGAAGCUGUUACUUGUCACUCCACUUCCACAAACUGCACCGAGAAUUGUGGAAGUAGAUCUCAACUGAAAUCUACAAGAGAUUGCGUGUCAUGCCGACGUCCAAAACUAUCAGCUUCGUGUGGAUUUCUAUCUGGUACUCAAUCAAGUGCCUUGUGGUACUCUACCUUAAGAAAACAUUCAAGUCUUCCUUCGAUGUUAUCAGCUUCCCUCCAAAGGAAAACCUCGUAUUGGAAGGUAGGGUCAAUACAGGAGUCCUCGUUGACAGAGAUUGCCAGCGACGAGACAAGUGAAAAUCGACCAAACAUCACAGGAAAGGCCAUAGCUGCUGAUGCUUCUCCUGCGGAUGGAGAAGAUAAUCAGCCACAGCUGGAUAAGGUCGGAGAUAAUGUCAACAUCUCUUCAUCGGAUAAAUCUGUAACACUCUCAGCACCACAGGAUAAGAAGAGGCAGCUUAAAAACAGGGUACUCUUUGGAUUCAUCAUAGGUUUUGGCGUUCUAGGCGUAGUUUUGGCAGGUGGUUGGGUUUUCGCGAUAGCUCUUGCCGCUACCAUCUGGGUAGCCACAGGUGAAUACUUCGGUCUUGUGCAAAGCAAAGCUAUGACUCGUGGUAUGGAAGCUCCUCCACUUAUCGCCACCAGAAUUUGUUCGGCGAUCUGUGCAGCCAUGCCUUUAAUGACCAUGUACUUUGGGGGACGUGUUGGGGUGGCGGUAACAACAGCGUCAUUUUUUUUGGCCACAGUGCUUCUGCUUCAGCGUGGCCCCCGUUUCUCGCACCUCUCUAGUGCCAUAUUCGGAUUAUUCUACUGUGGCUACCUCCCUUGCUUCUGGGUAAAGUUGCGUUGUGGUCUUGCAGUUCCUGCUAUCAAUACCAAACUUGUUUCGGCAUGGCCUGCACUGCUCGGUGGACAAGCUCACUGGACAGUGGGCCUCAUAGCCACCAUCAUUGCUAUAAGCACUAUAAUUGCUGCGGACACAGGCGCUUUUCUCGGGGGAAGGGCGUUGGGUAGAACUCCUCUCUCUGAAGUUAGCCCAAAGAAAACUUUAGAAGGUGCAGCUUGUGGAUUAAGUGCAUCAGUUGCUGUGUCAGUGGUGCUUGGACUUCUCUUUCAAUGGCCCAUGUCCUCUUCCAGUGCGAUGGUAUUGGCACUACUUGUUUUUCUGGGGUCGCUCUUUGGUGACCUGACUGAGUCUAUGAUAAAGCGAGAUGCUGGCGUUAAGGACUCGGGGAAACUCAUCCCUGGCCAUGGGGGCAUAUUGGAUCGAGUGGACAGUUAUAUAUUUACAGGAGCACUUGUACACUCCUUCGUAAAAGUAGGACUCCCCUUAUUUGGAGUCUAAACAUGCCGGCAUUUUUCGAUCGAAUAUUAGCAAGUCCUGCAUUUGUGGGCUGAACAGGUUUGAAAGCCCGUCGGUUCCUUGCUGGCUGUACUACCAAGUGUUGAUUCUUUCCAAUCAAAAUCAAUUCAGUCAGAAUGGAUUCAGGAUUCAGGAUUCAGAGUGGGGUACAAGUAACCAUGCCCGCAUUGGGUCACAUGUAUAUGCUUUGCACAGGAGAAAUAGUCGCAUGCAAGCAUGACACAACUACAGUAACCAUAGCAGCAAGCAGCAUUUUCGUUUUAUUCAGUCACAAUUGCAUUGCCUACUGAAAAAUUCACAAAAGCUGUUGAUUGACGAAGCGGCGCCGAAGAGCCGAAUUGCGUCCAAUUUCUCCUCCCACCCUCAUCUUACGUAAGCAGCUACCAAGGUCUCAGAUUGCUCAUUCAAUUGUAUGAUCCAUUCCUCUUAUCAUUACAAAGCGCAAGGUGCUCAACUUUCAAGGACUCAUCAGGAACAUGAUGGAUCAUUCUUCUAAGAAUCAGAUCAAUGUAGGUUGCUGUGUUAGAAGCUUACCUAGAAGCAUGAGCUGUGUGGCUCACAAGCCGUGUCAGUUAAAAUCAGGGAGGUUUAAGAAAGGAAUGAGUCAUUAAAUGUUCUGUCAUUCCAAAACUGCAUAGAGCUGACACACCUCUUUUUAUACAAGUUUUGCUUAAUCAUCAUUUCAUUGCCAUUAUAAUUGUCAA